rnacentral:rRNA from 1 species
CCUACGGGUGGCAGCAGUAGGGAAUAUUGCUCAAUGGGGGAAACCCUGAAGCAGCAACGCCGCGUGGAGGAUGAAGGUUUUCGGAUUGGAAACUCCUUUUGUUAGAGAAGAUAAUGACGGUAUGUAAAGAAUAAGCACCGGCUAACUACGUGCCAGCAGCCGCGGAAAUACGGAGGGUGCAAGCGUUACUCGGAAUCACUGGGCGUAAAUAGGGCGUAGGCGGGAUAGCAAGUCAGAUGUGAAAUCCUAUGGCUUAACCAUAGAACUGCAUUUGAAACUGUUAUUCUAGAGUAUGGGAGAGGUAGGUGGAAUUCUUGGUGUAGGGGUAAAAUCCGUAGAGAUCAAGAAGAAUACUCAUUGCGAAGGCGGCCUACUAGAACAUAACUGACGCUGAUGCGCGAAAGCGUGGGUAUCGAACAGGAUUAGAUACCCUAGUAGUC